rnacentral:rRNA from 1 species
UACAGAGGUGGCGAGCGUUGUUCGGAUUUACUGGGCGUAAAGGGCGCGUAGGCGGCCCCGUGUGUCGUGUGUGAAAUACCCGGGCUCAACUUGGGUGCUGCAUUUCAAACUGGAAGUCUAGAGUGCAGGAGAGGAGAAUGGAAUUCCUAGUGUAGCGGUGAAAUGCGUAGAGAUUAGGAAGAACACCAGUGGCGAAGGCGAUUCUCUGGACUGUAACUGACGCUGAGGCUCGAAAGCGUGGGGAGCAAACAGGAUUAGAUACCCG